AUUGAACGCUGGCGGCCGGCCUAACACAUGCAAGUCGAGCGAGCUUCUGACGGGUUAGUAAUGUUUGGGGACUGCCCGAUCGAGGGGGAUAACUUCUGGAAACGGUAUCUAAUACCUCAUACUAUCUGCUAACCCAUCUGGUAUUAGCUAGUAGGUGUGGUAAUGGCUCACCUCGGAGACGAUCCCUAGCUGGUCUGAGAGGAUGAUCAGGCACACUGGGACUGAGACACGGCCCAGACUCCUACGGAGGCAGCAGUGGGGAAUAUUGCACAAUGGGCGCAAGCCGGAUGCAGCCAUGCCGCGUGUAUGAAGAAGGCCCUAGGGUUGUAAAGUACUUUCAGUCGGGAGGCGGGACCGACAGAAGAAGCACCGGCUAACUCCGUGCCAGCAGCCGCGGUAAUUA
rnacentral:rRNA from 1 species